GUACAUGUACGGCAAGACGUUGCUUCCCUGAUUGCGGAAAAGGUAGUAGAACCCGAAAGUAAAUCAAACCUUGCAACAUCCCUCGAUAAUCCUCACAGCAUCCUUAACUGAUACUAUAUACCAUUUGGCCGAUCUUUGGCUUUAGCUCACCUUUCAAUCUUGCUUUUUAAUUUUCUCGAUUUAACAAGCAUAAUCUCAUGUCUAUCCAAUGUUUUCAGGA
rnacentral:lncRNA from 1 species